UACAGAGGUCCCGAGCGUUGUUCGGAUUCACUGGGCGUAAAGGGUGCGUAGGCGGUUCUGAAAGUCUGAUGUGAAAUCUCCGGGCCCAACCCGGAAAUGGCAUUAGAAACUACAGGGCUAGAGGCUUGGAGGGGGAACUGGAAUUCUCGGUGUAGCAGUGAAAUGCGUAGAUAUCGUAAGGAAGACCAGUGGCGAAGGCGGGUCUCUGGACAGUUCCUGACGCUGAGGCACGAAGGUCAGGGGAGCAAACGGG
rnacentral:rRNA from 1 species